AUUACUCUUAGUUGUUUAAAUCAGGUUGAUUCAUAAUCCUCUACAAGAGAAAAAUCAAUGCUGGAGUGCUUUGCUUAUGUAAUAAUGUACAUUAGUGAGGCUGGAGUUCCUCCUUGGUGAGAUAAAGCAGUUAAAACAUGUAGAGAGUACCUUUUGAAUUCAUUAUGAAUUGAUUUUCAUCCUUUUAAUAUUCUUGCCUUACAAAGAGAUUCCUAUAUAACACGCUGGCCUUUUUUUCUGCCUGUUCAUCUCCUCCUUGGUUUGAGGUUUGGCUCUCAAGGAGUUCUUCUCCCAGUCUGUACAGGUACCUGGGAUUGCCCCAGUCCAAGUGCAACGCCUUGCACUUGGCCUUGUUAAACCUUAUUGGGUAAAGUUGAUCUUCCCUUACAGCGUGAGGAACAUCACUCCCUCAGUCCCUACCUUACAACUCAUCCACUUGAGGGGUCUAUGAAGAGUAGCCAGCAGUGAACACAACUUUUCUAAGUUGUUCAGUACCUCAGCCUUCUUCUUGUCCAUUGUUACCAGCUGGCCUAUAUUGCUAACUGGGCUUUGCCUUCCUAGGCCUUCUUUUUCUGGUUGAUGUAGUAGCAGAGAGAGCACAAAAACAGGUUUCUGUUGGAAAAUAUUUCAAGAGCAGGUGACGAACCAUGCUAAUGCAGACUCUGUACAUAAUGGAAACGAUUAUAGACAAAGCCAUGAAUAUACUGGAUCAUCUAUCUUUCUUUGAGAUGAUGCUUAAAGUUACUUGAACCGCAACGUAAUACAAAGGUCGUAUCUGUUAUUUUGACUGGUGCUUUUAAAUGUGUUGUGUUCCCUUGUGCUGUUCCAUCUUUCUCUCCCAUUUUCAUCCUCCCUAACCUGAUAGAUCAGCUUGAGGCUUGCCUUCAGGCCGUGGCUGCCCAGGUACACCCAUCCUCUGAGGAGGUAUCACCAAGUGUCCUGCCAAAAACUCUGCUUCUCCCCGGAAGAUGAAUCACUGCGGAAGUAAGCCUUCAUGACUGUGCUUUGACAAACACUGAGGUUAGAUAAGGUUUCCAGCUGGAGGGAGAGGAAUGCUUUUCCCACCAGAAAACCCUUCUGUCCAUUUCUGCUGACGCUGUCUAACAGCCAGGAUGCAGCUGGAGGAAGAUUCUUGACGCUUGCUUCUCUCCUACACUCACAGAACAAAGAACGUGUGUGAGCUCCUGUCCGUGCUGCAGGCGUUGCACAUGGUGCUGGCCUUUUUCACCAUUACAGUAUGGGGCUUGUGGAAACUGCAGAGGUCCAGGUCUCCAGGAACCCAAAUACCCAAAAUAUGGAGCCGUACUCCCAUCAUUGUGCCACGUAACCCCUUCAGGAGGCAAGAAAGCCCUCAGAAAAUGUAGCAUGUCAGCAAUAAGGAGGUUGUCCAUGUCAAAGAUCCCUCAGGGGUUCCUAGCCAGCUGACGUUGGACAAAAUCCUGGAGUCAAUCUCAUCCAUAUCUGCUUUUUUUCCAGUGAUUCCUCUGUGUAGAUGUCAACUUUUGGGCCAGGCCACCUAAGGUGGAGUCAUAGAAGUCCCCAAUAUACUCGUUUGACUCCAGGACAAACAAACGUGCUGAGGUCACCCUCAAGUUAUAGCAUCAUUGGGAUGUCAGCAGGUCAGACUGUGGGUCAGGGAAGAUGAUCCUACCGCGGUCUCUGCUGCAGCCCCAUUAACCUUUGUGGCUCAGCUCCUCUGCCUGGUUAAAAUUUAAACACUUGCAUAAGUGGUUUGCUGAACUGAUGCCAGCAAGAUCAAUGUCUUGCAGGACCGAACACAUUAAUUCUUGCUCUCGGAGAAGUGGUGGGGAAAUACAGACAAGCCAGAACACUAAACAAUUUGGGAGUAUUUGAUCCAAUGAGAAAGGCAAAUCCCAAAGCUUAGGAAUCCUCAUGCACUUUGUAAGAAGAAGAGAAAGGGAGUUCAAGGUUCCCCCGCCUCAACUGAGCUUGGCGCUGUGGUAGCCAUGACUUUGCAUGGAUGAAGGAUAUUAUUGCACACCAGAGAGAGCCAAGACACUGUUUGUCAUGCUGGUUUGCAAGAACAGAUUAUGUAUUCACCAGCCUCUUAUUCUUAACUUUAGAAAAAAAGUUUCCAAAUAUUCUUUUCUUCUGCUUGAUCUUGUAUUGAAGAACAAAGCUCUCGGGAGAAUGGGCAGCUAGGAGGCAUGUUUCUUCCUGGAGUGAUACUAAACUCCUUCAACAGAAACAGAUGAUAACAAGUACGCUGAAAGCAAAAAUAAAAGAUGCCUCAAACAAAAGCAAUAUACUUCCUAAACAAGGCUCCCAGGCACACCGGUUUCUCCCUUUGGGAAGAGGAUAUGAGAAUGAACACACGACACCUGUUAGUCACGUCACUUAACUGCAUGCCUGGAAAGUACUCAGAUCUCAUGGAGAUGAUGAUGACACUGAAAGACCCUAUGCAGAACGUAAAUGCUGAGCUACAAUAAAGGCUUUCAAAACAGC